AUUAUUUUACCUUUUAUAUUAGAUUUCUGACUUUUUCUUUAAUCUUACUGCCGUUUAACACAUUGUUUUUUAACAUAUUUUGAUAUGUUUGUUAGAAAAUGCCAUAUAGCUAGCAUGUAUUUUUUUCCUAUAGGGUGUAUUGGGAGCUGUUAUUCUUUUAACCAGGCAAGAUGUUGGGGUUAAAUUUUAAGGGUUAGUGGUAGCUGCUAAUGAGUAGGGAAAGGGUUGGAAACAAGUUGAAAAUCUGUAGCAGUUAGUAACACCCAUGUAGAAUAAUGGGAGCUGUUAUUUGUUACUUAGUGGCUGGCUACAACAAAGCUACAGGCAGUAAAUACAUGUCCCUACUGGUUGGCAAACAUUACCUAUUCACCAACACACUUUGAGUAGCGUCUUGCACGCACUUUAUCGAGUAGAAACUGGCAAAUAAACAUUUGCAACAUUGAAAACGAGCCCCUUGUGUUUUGAUUUAGUUUUUUUCAAGCUUUGUGUUUUAAGGAAAUAUGUAAAAAGACCUAUGUAUCUAAUUUCCCUUUAUAAGCCACUGUGCAUACAGUAUCAUGCACUCUAUGGUUCAAUCUCUUACAUAGAGAUGGAACUUGUAAAACCGUGCUGCAAACUGUGCCUUUUUAUUUCAUGAUGUGAGAAUAGAAAAUUCUAGAUUUUAACUAGCCAGUCAAGUUCAUAAACUCUUUAUAGAAUGCCGAUGGAACUUUUCAAUUUUACCAAUGUGUCUCACCAUGAACUGAUGUGCAUAGCCUGUCAUUUGCAAGUUUAUCACCUAUUGUUUUUUGGUAUUGCUUUUUUACACCAGGUAUUUGGGAAUCCUUGUUGAUUUACUGCUGCGAUUGACCAUACAUUAUCAAGAG